rnacentral:rRNA from 1 species
GAUGAACGCUGGCGGUAUGCCUAACACAUGCAAGUCGUACGAGAGUUUUUAACUCUAGUGGCGGACGGGUGAGUAACACGUGAGAAUUUGCCUUUAGGAGGGGGAUAACAAUUGGAAACGAAUGCUAAUACCCCAUAUGCUUUUGAGUGAAACGGAUUUAUCCGCCUAGAGAGAAGCUCGCGGCUGAUUAGCUUGUUGGUAAGGUAAGAGCUUACCAAGGCGACGAUCAGUAUCUGGUUUGAGAGGACGAUCAGACACACUGGAACUGAGACACGGUCCAGACUCCUACGGGAGGCAGCAGUGGGGAAUUUUGGACAAAUGGACGCAAGUCUGAUCCAGCCAUUCCGCGUGCAGGAUGAAGGCCUUCGGGUUGUAAACUGCUUUUGUACGGAACGAAAAGGUUUACCAUUAAUACUGGGAG